ensembl:lncRNA
AUAUAUAUAUAUAUAUAUAUAUAUAUAUAUAUAUAUAUAUGCAAUCACUUUAGAUAUUUUUAGAAUCCUAUUUUUAGGAUUUUUAGGAUUUUUUUGGAAGAUUUUUACCUCAUUUUUUGAAAAUAUUUACAAGAAUUUUCUCGCCAAAUUUGGGGGAUUUUUUUCUUGAAAAUGUGGGCAUCAGAAGUUUCACUGUGAAAAUCUUUUUUUUUUCUCCACAUUUUCAAACUUUAAAACGGGUCAGUUUGACCCGCAGGAGACACGAGGGUUAAAUGAAACUUUUAAGGUAAACUUUUAAGGAAUUAUUGGAAUUUUCUUCCUGAAAGUUUUGCGUAUUUUCUGAAAUUUGGGGAAUUUUUUUGCUGAUUUUUUUCAGAAAAGGAAACAUGUGUCCGUGUGUGUGUGUGUGUGUGCGUGCGUGCGUGCGUGCGUGCGUGCGUGCGUGCGUGCGUGCGUGUGUGUGUUUAUGCGACUCAUUCCAUAUCAUUUGAACAGAAACUUCAGUUCGUGUUCGUUCGUUUGCAGCGUUUAUCCGAGAAGAGAAUAGAAAAAUCUGAGCCAUAUUCAAUGCAAUAUGAAUAGAUGACAUCUCUUUUGCAUUUCUCUAUUAAUCGUUUACAUUACAUUAAUGUUUGAACAUAGUCGACCAUUUAGCACCGAGGAGUAUUGAAUGUGCAAUUUUACUUCAGUGCUGGUUGGGUUUAUGAUUGUCUUGGGUUUUUUUUUCUUUUGCGUGCAUGUAUGUCAGUGCUUUGAGGUUUCUUUUGGUAUAACCUGUUGUAAACUAAAUUCAUAUUUACGGUAGGAAAUGCUUCCCAAGUAUUUGCAGGGACUAAAAGAGGAGCCAUCGUAGAAGUCGGGCUGCAAAAACACAGCAUCAGUGUUACUUGUUUCUUCUUUUUCUGUCAAAAUUUAGCGAUUUUCAUCAUUUAAUCCUUUACGAACCGACACUUGAAUCGAAAGAAAGCAUGUACAAUAUCUCUUUGAGUCAAUUAUACAAACAAAAGUUUGAAUUCUAUAUUGUGAAAGUAAAAUAAACUUAGACUUUGACUACAAACUCAGGAAGAAUUUCAUAUAUAGUCAAAUUAAUGUUUUAAAUUCUCCCCGUUUAAGCGAGUAGUUUCUGUUCUGAACUUGAAGACUUUAGGAAACAUUAAAACUUUGUGAUUGCAGACUGCCUUACUUUCAUGGACUCCAUAGACUCACCCACAGUUGGACCAGUGGGUGACGCUACCGUUUGUCACCCACUGGUUCUAUUGUGGGCAAAUGUGACCAAUCAGGGCUGGAUCUGACUGAGAACUCAGAGACUCUAUUCACAGUGAUAGAACAGCGACCAACAGUAACUCUAUCGUCUUUUUUUCACUAAAUGGGACCAGAAUUUACUGAAUGAACAUCAUGGAGUCUUCAGAAAGACUUCAGACUCGCAGUUUAGAGCGUAAACUCAUGAAGAAAAUGUUUAGUGAGGGAACAAAGAAGUGAGAAAAAAGGUCGUUUUCUCAUAGACUUCUGUACAAUCUGACUUCUUUUGACAACCAGAGGAGUCGCCCCCUGCUGGCUGUUAGAAAGAAUGCAGCUUUAAGGUGGCGGGACUGGGGCCGGGUCGUGGAUUCAGCAUCCCAAGAGACAAACAGUCAUUAGCUCACACUGAAACACAACUCAGUAGGAAAAUACCGGCAAAAAUGUAAAACUGUAAGUCUGUCUUAAGCUUGGGAGCCGUAAUGAAGCUAGCGAAUGUAGCAUAAUCCAACGUGGCAGCAAACGUAAACAAAGCCGUCUGAUAGCGCCGCGUGACGACGUAUUCAUGUGCUCCACUCGCCAAAAGUUUCACAUAACCAGUUCUGAGGUAACGAUGAAAUGCCAUAAAUUGAGGACGUCGUAAACCGAGGACCUCCUGUACAAGAUCUAAUGUUUCUUGAUCCAUUUAGGCGUUCUUUUUUUUAAAACCCUGCUCUAUUUUUUCUACCGUAGAGGCUAAUCCAAUGCUUGAAGCCCCUGAAAUGUUUCACCAGGACUUAAAUAACUCAUGCGCCGACAAACUUCAUCGCAUGUGAUGAAGACAGCCCGAGACAUUAGCUUGUGUUUCAAUAAUCUCUGCAUUUAUUGCUCCACAGCAGUCAUAAUCCAACAUUCUUCAUCUCAAACAAACAAUUCACCACCACCGUUCACAACUGUUCUACCUUCCAGGCGGAAACACCUGCCCAGACAAAGAUUGGUUCUUACUUAUAACGUAGCACUCAUUGGCUCCUACAUCUACAUUGAGGUGUGCUGUUAUGUUAGCGCCACCUAGCACAGGAAACAACCUCUAACUGCAGCAGAAUCAGUAUUAUCGCUAAAAUUGUCGUUUCCAUUUCAUAUUUAAGGUUGGUCAUGAGUUUGGUACAUGCUGAUAACGAACAUGUUUUCUCACUCUACUUAGCUGUAUGGAAAAUGACGCUUAAGACAGAAAGGUUGAUCAAACCUGUAGGCGAGGUGUUAAUGCUCUCAUUUAUGGGGAUUGAAUUAAAAUAUACCUAAAAGACAUACAGUUGUUUAAACAUUUUCUGCCUGAUAUAAAGUAAAAUAACAUGUUGACUGAUAAAAAGUGAAGUAAUGAUGGUCCUAAACUAAACAUUUUAAUCCUAAACAGUCUUUUGAUUAAAAAAAUAUGGAAAAUUGUCCUAAUUUCAUGAAUAAACAGACAUUUUUAGCCUUUAUAGCAGCUUUACCAGUAAAGUAUUUGUGUUUUAUGAUGGAGACUUCUGCGAUGGCUGCUACCGUCCACUGUCCGACACCUAGACCUUCCUCUGGGCAUUAUAAAAUAGACAAAAUGUGUAUAAAUGAACUCCUGAACUGUCUGUGAAUGGUGACGACAUUUUCUAUGAAGUGUGCUAAUAAGCUAACCCGUUCUGAACGACAAACUCACGCUUCUGAUCUUUCUAUUGAGUAGAAACACGACUUUGUAUUAAAUUGUCUCUCAUCAGCGGUGGUUAUGCAUGGCAUUUUCUUACCUCCUUGCGAUUAUUUUCUAGUAACGGCAUAAAAAAUGGCAUUAUUGUUGUUUAAACUAUUAAUUCUUAUAGUUUUAAAUGAUUUCUAUCUGAGUUUCUUCAAAGGUUGGGCAUGUCUUGGGUGUGUUUUGUUCCUUUUGCUUUUGUAUUUCUUUUUCUGCUGAUGAUGAUGGGAUUACUUGAAGUUGUUUUAUUUUAUUCAUUUGUUAAAAGAAGAUGCCUUACUGUUCAGGAUUACAAAAUUUUUAUUCUUUUUUUUAAAGAGAAUAAACAUCAGCAGACUGACUCCGAGCCACAGAUUUAUUAAAGUUAGAUUAGUUUAGUAAAUGUAAAGUUCAUCAAUGCAGAACAGAAUAAUUCAUCAAAAAGGACCAUAUAUUAUAUACUGGUACUAUAUUCAUAAACAUUAUCUCAAUAUGCUAACAGCCAUGCUAACAGCUCUGUGAGACUGUAACUGGUUAGAGCUAAAUGCAAGCUAUAGCAUAGCAUGCUAACCUUCUCACAGUAUUAAUAAAUGUUGAUGUUUAGCAAACAUGUUCACCAUCUUUGCCUAGCAUGCUAACUGCUCAGUUAAGCUGAGCAGUUAACUGCUAACAUGCUAGCUACAAUAAUGCUAACAUGUUGAUGUAUAGCAAAUAGAAGGUCAGAAUCUUUGUUUAGCAUGCUAACAUGCUGAUGUUUAGCCAAUGUGUUUGCAGUCUUUGCUUUGCCCAGUAACCUGCUCAAAAUGACAAUGCUAACAUGAUGAUGUUAAGCAGACAUGUUUGCUAACAUUGCUUAGCAUGCUAACAUGCUGGCAUUGCUUAGCAUACAAACAUGCUUGCAACAACAAUGCAAAUAUUUAAUGUUAAGCAAACAUGUUGACCGUCUUUGCUUAGCUUGUUAACAUGCUAAUAUUAAGCAGAUAUAAUGCUUACCAUCUUUGUUUAGCAUGCUAACAUGCUCACAACAACAAUGCUAACAUGUUGAUGUAAAGCAGACAUGUUUGCUAACGAUGUUUAGCAUGUUAGCAUGCUUGUAGCAACAUUGCUAAUAUUUUGAUGUUUAGCAAGUAUUUUUACCGUCUUUGUUUAGCAUGCUAACAUUCAUGCUCAAAGAAUGUUAAUAUUUACCAGAUACACACACACACACACACACACACACACACACACACACACACACACACACACACACACGCAGGUAGUCAUCAAAUGUUUCACUCAACAUCCCGAAUAUUAACUUCCUAAAAGAGGUACAUCCUCUGAUGAUUAUGAACGUCUGCUCUGAAUGACAUCUAACAGCUGUUAAGAUGUUUCGGUCUGAGCGGUGAACUGAUAAUAGAAUAAAAUAAUACUUUAUUGAUAAUUUACAGACUUGUAACAGCAGCAUGUCGACACGUCGAUGACCCACAAAACCGACAGAACAAGAAUAGUCAUCAGUACGAGCACAUACACGGUAUAUAAGGUAGAAAAAAUAUGAUAAAAGUUAAAACAUAUGUCGGGAAAAUUGUUAACUUCUCUAAAUUAAAACUCAGAGUCGUCUCUCAAAUCAAAGUAAACAGACCCCAGUCUGAUAAAAGUGACUGAUAAAAGCCUUUAUACAGGCACAUUAGCAGGAGGGACACAUCUUGGUGUGAUAUCUCUAGUUUGAGUUAUAAACCACACAGUUAAAUAGUAUUACAAUGAAUAAGAACAUUUAAUCAUAAAACAUAAUCAUUUACAUAACAGCACAGCAUAGAACACAUAAAUUAAAAUAUAAAAGCCUGAUUGGUGGACGGGCGCUAAGCUGUUAGCAUGGCUAAAGCAUACAGACACAGUUUAACCCUCCUGUUGUCCUCAUCUAACAGCACCAAAAAAAUAUUUUCUUGUCCGAAAAAAUCCAAAAAUUCAGCAAAAAAAUUCCCCAAAUUUCUGAAAAUUUGCAAAACCUUGAAAAUUUGCAAAACUUUCAGGAAGAAAUUUCCAAUAAUUCCUUAAAAGUUUUAUUUUUAAAAAAUAAUCCCUCAAAUUUGGCAAGAAAAUUCUUGUAAAUAUUUUCAAAAAAUGAUAAAAAUCUUCCCAAAAAAAUCCUAAAAAUAUCUAAAGUGAUUCCAUAUAUAUCAGUAAAACUUCUAAUAUUUUCUUUAAGAACAUUCAUUUUUUUUGUGUGAAUGUUCUUAAGAAGGGCUGCACAGUGGCGUAGUGGUUAGCACUUUCGCCUUGCAGCAAGAAGGUCCCUGGUUCGCGUCCCGGCUUUCCCGGGAUCUUUCUGCAUGGAGUUUGCAUGUUCUCCCUGUGCAUGCGUGGGUUCUCUCCGGGUACUCCGGCUUCCUCCCACAGUCCAAAAAUAUGCUGAGGUUAAUUGAUCAUUCUAAAUUGCCCGUAGGUGUGAAUGUGAGAGUGCUUGUUUGUCUAUAUAUGUAGCCCUGCGACAGACUGGCGACCUGUCCAGGGUGUCCCCUGCCUUCACCUGAGUCAGCUGGGAUAGGCUCCAGCCCCCCCCGCGACCCUAGUGAGGAUUAAGCGGUGUAUAGAUAAUGGAUGGAUGGAUGUUCUUAAGAAACAUUUUUGACAUUUUUUUUCCACCAAAAAUGUUCAAAAAUUUACCAAAAAUGUUAAAAAUGUGGACAUCAGAAGUUUCACUGUGAAAAUAUUUUUUUUCCCCACAUUUUCAAAGUUGAAAACGGGUCGAUUUUGACCCGCAGGACGACACGAGGGUUAAAUAGAAGCAUUAAAAACAUCAAACCAGAACAUGUUCAGUCAUAAUAUUUUUUAUUCCAGCCAUCACCAGGAAGUUCUACUAAGAAUAUACAGACACAUGAUUAUCCUCAGCACCAGACGGGUGGAGUUAAACCAUCAUCUGGACUCUUUUCAGUCUUUCUGGCACCUUUUGUGGGUUUGAAGAUUAUAUUUACCCGAGUGGAUCUUUCUGAAGCUCUGUGUAAACGUCUCACAGCCGGUGAGUAACAUGAAGAAAUACACGAAUAAAUAUGUAAUAUUGAUAGAUUAAACUUGUCUUUUAAGUCACUGUGUAAUCCAAAUGGAAAGAUACAGUCAAGACAUGUUUGGAUUUAAAGGGUUAAAAGUGAUGUUUGUUUUUAGGAUGAUUGUUUUCAGGUUUGGAAAGACGCCUUAAAUGUGUACACUGGAUUCUCAUCAGACAACUUUUAGUAAUUACAGAGUAUUAAAUUCAUGUCUGUAAAUUAAUAUUGACUGUUACUUCAGAGCGUGUAGAGCUAUAUGUGUGUUUGUUCUAAUAACCCAACUUGCUACUCGGAAGCCUUUACUGCCAUUAGAAACAGUUUUUAUUCCUCCAUACCUGCCUAUAUACGAUGAUAUUUUCUGUGAAAAGUGAGUCAGAAGCUUCAUGUUCAGUAAUUCUGUGCAUUCAGAUGCAAAGGAGCUCAAAAGGCCUUACUGUUCAGGAUUACAACAUUUUUAUUCUUUUUUAAAAGAGAAUAAACAUCAGCAGACUGACUCCAAGUCGCAGAUGUAGUAAAAUUAGAUUAAUUUAGUAAAUUUAGAGUUCAUAUGCCAACAUAAAUAUGCUAACAGCCAUGCUAACAGCUCUGUGAGACUGUAACUGGUUAGAGCUAAAUGCAAGCUAUAGCAUAGCAUGCUAACCUCCUCACAGUAUUAAUGCUAACAUGUUGAUGUUUAACAAAUAUGCUUACCAUCUUUGCUUAGCAUGCUAACAUGCUCACAGCAUAAAUGCUAACAUGUUGAUGGGUCACAGAUAUAAGGUCUUUGUUUAGCAUGCUAACAUGCUCACAACAACAAUGCUAACAUGUUGAUGUGUAGCAAAUAGAAAGUUAGAAUCUUUGUAUAGCAUGCUAACAUGCUGACACUUAGCCAGCGUGUUUGCAAUCUUUGCCCAGUAGCCUGCUCAAAAUGACAAUGCUAACAUGAUGAUGGGUCACAGAUAUAAGGUCUUUGUUUAGCAUGCUAACAUGCUGACGUUUAGCCAACAUGUUUGCAGUCUUUGCUUUGCUCCAUAACCUGCUCAAAAUGACAAUGCUAACAUGAUGAUGUUAAGCAGACAUGUUUGCUAACAUUGCUUAGCCUGCUAACAUGAUAGUAAUAACAAUGCUAAUAUUUUGAUGUUAAGCAAAUAUUUUUAUCAUCUUUGCUUAGCUUGUUAACAUGUUAAUAUUAAGCAUAUAUAAUGCUUACCAUUGUUUCUUAGCAUGCUAACAUGCUUGUAACAGCAAUGCUAAUAUUGUGAUAGUAAGCAAAUAUUUUUAGCAUCAUUGCUUAACUUGCUAACAUGUUCAAGUGAAGUCAAGUUUGCUUUAUUUUCUCCCAUGGGAGAAAUUUCUUAGACAAGGUAAAAUGACAAAUUUCUAAAAAUUUUUAAUAUUAAGCAGAUAUAAUGCUUACCAUCUUUGCUUCGCAUGCUAACAUGCUCACAACAACAGUACUAACAUGUUGAUGUGUAGCAAAUAUAAGGUUAGAAUCUUUGUUUAGCAUGCUAACAUGCUGAUGUUUAGCCCACAUGUUUGCAAUCUUUGCUUUGCCCAGUAACCUGCUCAAAAUGACAAUGCUAACAUGUUGAUGUUAAGCAGACACAUUUGCUAAUGUUGCUUAGCCUGCUAACGUGAUUGUAACAACAAUGCUAAUAUUUUGAUGUUAAGCAAAUAUGUUGACCAUCUUUGCUUAGCUUGUAGACAUGCUCACAACAACAAUGCUAACAUGUUGAUGUGUAGCCAAUAUAAGGUUAGAAUCUUUGCUUAGCAUGCUAACAUGCUAACAUUUUUUCAAGUGAGUCAGGACCUUCAUAUUUAGGCUGAUUGCUGCUGUAGUGAAACAUGUUUCUGCUGGCUGUUAGCCCUCUGACCUACAUUACUGUGUAAAGAGAAAAAACAAACUGUGACGUAGAGAUUUGUCAGAUGUCUGUGAAGUCAAACAGUCGCUGAGUCACAUCUGGGAGUUUCCUGAAGCAGCAAACGGCUCCACUGAGUCGCUGUUUGGAGUUUUACCGUCUGUCUUUCUCAACCGACAGAAUAUUUUUUUAACAUUUCUUUCUUCACCUGUAAAUUAAGUUCAGAGUUGCCGUUAAAACAUUCGUAACCUUUGAAAAGGUUCCGAUUAGCUGCUAAAUGGACGCUGUGGUGAGAUGUUUAAAUAGUCAGAGGGAACUUUCAGAGUUUAUCAGACAAACACAGCUGGAAAUUCCAAACUUCAGUGUAAAUAACAAGUCAGCUGACAACAAAUGACACAAAAGAGACACAAAACAACAAAAAUGAAACAAAACGACAAAAACAAGGCAAAAAAUGACAAAAAUUAGACAAAAAUGACAAAAAAACAGACACAAAACAACAAAAAUGAGACAAAAUGUGAAAAAUGAGACAAAGAAUACCAAAAACAAGAAAAAAAAUGUAAAAUUAGCAAAAAAAUUUAAAAAAAGAGACACAAAACAACAAAAACAAGACACAAAGCAAUAAAAGCUAGACAGAAAACAACAAAAACGACAUACAACAUGACAAAAAUGAGACAAAAAUGCUAAAAUUAGACAAAAAAAUGACAGAACGACAAACAACAAAAAUGAGACACAAAAUGCCAAAAAUUACACAAAAAAUUACAAAAAAGAGAUGCAAAACAACAAAAAUGAGACAAAAAAAUCCAAAAAAUUUGACAAAAAAUGACAAAAAUUAGACAAAAAAUGACAAAAAGACAGAAAACGAGAAACAAUACAACAAAAAUGAGACAAAAAAAUGACAAGAAAGACACAACAUAAAAGAGACAAAACAACAAAAACGAGACACAAAGCAACAAAAAUGAGACACAAAAUGACAAAAAUUAGACAAAAAUGCCAAAAAUUUGACCAAAAAAUGACAAUGAGACAAAAAAUGCAAAAACAAGACAAAAAAUUUGACAAAAAAUGUCAGAAGCGUCAGAAAACAACAAAAACGAGACACAAAAUGACAAAAACAAGACAAACAGCCUUGAUAAAUCCACUUUAUUUGUACCUGUAAAAAGAUGCAUUAUUUUCUAGCAGCCCUUCAUUGUGUCGAUCAUUUUAAACUUUUUUUUGACCCUAUUUGUGUCAUUUGAGCAGCUUUGAGAGGCCUGAAGGGUUCAAACAUUCAGUAAAUCACUAGAAACAGAGUCAUCCAUCAUCUGUGGGACCCGCUGACAUUAACGGCCAAAUCACAUCCUGAAAGUCAAACGUUGGCUCUGUUUUAACAUCAGAGUGUUUGCGAGGCUUUGGGUUUAACGUACCGAUGAAUACUGAGUCCAAAUCAUUUACUGGUCUGUGUCACAUUACUGGUUUAUGAGUCACUCUACAGACGUCUCAUCACAUCUAAAGGUGAUUUCUGUGGGAAACAAGUCCAGAUCUGUUGGAAACAACGAAGACGCUGUGGAUUUUAUUCCAGAACGUUCUUCAGUCACCUCAGUUUUAAAUGCCAGUGAAGUUUCAAACUUCCUCCUGAUUAUUUUCUUUUUUUCUUCCUCUUUUCUGGCAGCCCUCAGCUGGUAAACAGGGUGAAUUUAUCACAUCAGUCAAAACGAAACCUGCUUUCAUUUUUCUGUUUUUUUCUAGAAGUGUUUCUGUGACGUUUUAAAAAAUCCCUACUGUUUACUUUUUGUUUUCCAGACAUAAAAAACAAAAACCGGUAUAUAAAUCUGAGAGAUGGUAAAGCACGUCAGAUUGUAUAUUUGUUUAAAAAUUUAAGACACAAAACAACAAAAAAAUGAGACAAAAGAUGCCAAAAACAAGGCAAAAAAUGCCAAAUAUUUUUUAAAAAAUAACAAAAAAGAGGCACAGAACAACAAAAAUGAGACACAAAACAAGAAAAACAAGACAGAAAACGACAAAAAUUUAACAAAAAAUGCCAAAAACGACAGAAAAUUACAAAAAAGAGACACAUAACAAAGCAACAAAAACAAGACAGAAAAUGCCAAAAAAUAGACAAAAAAAUGACAAAAAAGAGACACAAACUGACAAAAGAGACACAAACAAAAAGGAGACACAAAACAAAACGACAAAAACGAGACACAAAAUGACAAAAACAAGAUUAAAAAUGACAAAAAAGAGACACAAUUUUUAGAAUAAAUAAGUUGGAACCUUCUUUUUUUUGGUUGCUUUGUCACUUUCUAUCUCUUUCACUUUCAGUGUGAAAUCUCAGCUGGUUUGUGUUGUUCAGAGAAAUGUCACAUGAUGAGAAGGUUUGGUGGUUACCUGUGAUUACCAGUUUUGUACACAAACGUACGUCAGCGGUUUCAUCAUCAGCGUCUGACGUCAUGACGCACAGCUGCUGAUAUAGAACCCGGAACCAGAUGAGUGGAGCGCAGUAACCGGCAGGACCUGAGGGAGCUGCGGAGGAUAUUUAUCUUCAUUUACUGUCUUUUUGGCCAUUUCAACCUGAACCAGGAUGGCGAACGGACACGUGGAAAUCCACGACCUGUUGUCCGCCCACCACAGCCCCUCCAGCUGCUCAGACCCUGAAUCCACCUCAGACAGCGACAGAAUGGACGACACGGUGGAGUUCAGGAUCAUGAUGGCGUUCGCCAAGAGGAGACGACCUCAACAGCAGCAGCAGCAGGAUUCAAAUCCAGACGACGGACCAGUGAAGGAUAGCAGAGAUGCUAACGGAACGACGACUCCAUCCCAGACACCAGAGAAGACUGAGGGGAAGAAGAAGAGGAAGAAGAAGGGAUGGAAACGUCUGUCGAGCAUUUUGAGAUGUGUCAAACCUCAGACUGAAGACCCAGAACCACAGCCAACGCCUCGACCCAACGGAAACUUCAGGAGUUUGGAUCCUAGAACCAAUGAGCGACUGGUAGUGGACUCACACGAACCCGAUGAGGUUAAAGAUGACGAUCAUUUGGCCGAGGCAGUGAGCAGACUGACGGAGAUCGCUGAAGAAAUCCCGUUCACUCCUCCAGAAUGGGAGACGGACUCCAGAGACGGUGAGGUGGAGAAGAUUAUCGGUCUGAUUCUGAGGGAAAGUGGAGACAGACUGAAUGAGAAGGAGCUGAAGAACGCCAACAUCGCAGCAGAACUCUUCUGGAACUACAGCUUCUUUAGGGAGCUAAUAAAUAGACUGCUCAUGAGGAUGGGCCUCAGGAGCCCCGACCCCGACGCUCUGGGGCCUCAAGCAUCACCCAAAACCCAGAUCGCUGUGACCUGUGAGGUGACAACAGCUGUCCUUAAAACACAACUUCCAGUACUUCCCUCUUUGAUAGGAAACAACUUCUAUUUCAGAUCAGUAGCGACUUACAGCAGCAGACUCUAAACUUCAUUGCACCACGAACCGGAAUGACAAAAACGAGACACAACAUGACAAAAAUGAGACAGGAAGACGAUCUAGUCAUUUUUCAAAAUAAAACACCCUGCAGACUCCACCAGAAAUGAAAUGUAAAAUAAAUGGUUUUUAUUCUCUCUGGUGGUUGGAGACUUAAAGGACUCUGAAACUUUACGAGGCAAAGAUCAGAGAAGUAAAAAAACAUCCUGUUACCAGUAGAAACCUCCGAGUUUAGAGUCACCGCUGAGCUUUCACGUCUUCAUCACCUCCCAGUCUGGUGAAUCAUGGUCUUUGAAACGUUUCUGUUCCUCGUCAGGUCACCAGUCGUCUCUCUGAGGUGAACUCUCUGCCCAGGAACCUCCUGAUGCGCCACGGAGCCCGAUACCUGCAGGACUACUACUCCACCUGGGCUCAGCAGCAGGGCGGAUACGAGGCAGCCUUUGAGGGAGACGAGGAUGAAGUGGAGUGAACCGGACCAGGUCUUCCAGCUCCACAGCGCCUCCUGCAGGCCGUCACAGAAGCAGCAUUAGGAGUCCUACAGAGUGUGGAGAACACAGAACAGGAGCUUUGUGUUUUCAUUCAGACAGAUCAGUUUACACAGAACACGUCUGCAGCCGUGAGCUUUAAAACAAACAAUCAUGUGCUGUCAGGGGCCACGAGACGAUGAAUAAAUUAUUUUUGUACCGUUAUAACCUCUGUGAUUAAGGUUGUCUUGACUUUUUGAAAUCAUCAUUAUUUGCUUUGUAGUUAGAAAGAAGAAAAGUAUAGCUCAGCACUUGCACUUUUAAGAUCACGGAAAAUAGAUGUAAAAUAGAAGUGGUGUUGUUUGUGUUGUUUCUAAGGGACCACUGUGUGUACUGUUGUUGUUGUUUAGACAUAAAUGUAAAUGAAAACACAGAUUUUUAGUCUGUGGAUUGUUUGUGUGAACAUUUUUAGCACAAUACAUCCUGUCAGUUUUCAUAUGAAGUGCAGAAAUGUGUCUAAAAACUGCCUAAAUGCUACUUUUUUGUGUUUUUUCUGUUAUAGUUUAAUGAUUGAGCUCAGAUGAAAACGGCACCACCCUGUGGCCAAAUGUGGAACUGAUUCAAACAACCCCAAUUCAAAUUAGAUUAAUUAAUAAAUGUUGUUUACUUUAUGGAUAUAUUGACAUGUUUUACUCUUGUGAUAAGUUGUUGUAUUUAUUUUAAUAAAUUCAGCAUAAAGUGAACAAAUCCAAGGAUUGGAAAUUUGGAAACGACAAAAACUAGACACAAAAUGACAGAACUGAUACACAAUGACAAAACCGAGACACAAAACGACAAAACUGAGACACAAAAUGACAUAAACGAGACAGAACGACAAAACCGAAACAAAAUGACAAAAACGAGACUCAAACUGACAAAAACGAGACAAAAAUGACAAAAGACUCAAAGUGACAAAAAUGAGACACAAAACCGAGACACAAAAUGACAAAAACAAGACAGGAAAUGACAUUUUAGUGAUAUCCAGUCAUUUUUAUUAAUAAGUGAUUGUUUCCAUAAUAAAUAAUUAUGUAAUUUGUAAAGACAUGAUCAUAAUGAACAUAACAUUUUUGCUUUUAAUAAAAAUGUAGGCAGAUAUAUCCUAAAGUCCUUCAGUUAUAUAUUGACCCACCAGGUGGCACAAAGAUAAAGUUUUUAUUAGUAAUGUUCUUUAAAUAAAGUAUAAAAGGUGGAACUGGUGGAUUUAUUGACUUAUAAUCGUUAUUGCUGUUGAUAGAAGAAAAGUUUUAAAUUUUAUUUCUGUGAAGGAGUCUGGAGCUUCUUCGGUCCGUGUAUUUAUCUGGCAAUUGGAUUUUCCGUUCUGAAACGGGUAUUGAAAAACAAAACGAAU